UCCAGGGGUAUUUCACAUGGGCUCCCAGCCCUCUGCAUGUGCCUGGGCUGUUUCUCAGUUCCAGCCUGUUGAUCCCUGCACUGGCCAAGGGCUGAUGCUUCCCCUGCCAUGCUGACUUCAAGUCAUGCAGACACCUGAUGGAAGAGUCUUCCAGGCAGAAGGAAGGACAAAUACCCUUGAUAUACAUGUACUUGGCCGGCAUGAGGAAGAGCAAUGUGGAAGGAUACAGAUAGUUGGGAACAUAUAGUGCCUGUGAAUGACCAGUAUGCUCACUCCAAUAACAUCAGGCAAGCAAUUCCACAUAAUACUGAAGAAGGCUGUUGAAGUGACUGAAUCUGGCCAAAUAUUCUGAGCGUUUCGGAGGGAUUUUUAACAUUCUAAAUGCUAUCUGGAACAUCGAUGCAGCAUGGGAAGAAGUCACACAGCCAUGCAUGAACAGCAUUUGGAAGAAAGUUUUGAAGACAUAUGUGAACACAUUCAAAAUGUUAACAGAGAUUCUGCCGUAUUCAUAAGCUUGUUGGCAUCGAGGCUGAAGAGCUUUCCAAUGAGAAGCUGGAAAAAGAAAGAAGUAAAGAAGUUGGGGCAAAGAUAGAAGAAAUUGUUCCUGAGGCACCAAGAAAGUUCAUAGCAAAUAAACUGGCAGCGGUGUUUUCUACUAUCAGCAGUGGUGUGUGAAUGUUAGGACAAAUGGGUGACAAUUACAAUUGCUAUCACACACAUAUUGUUCCAUAGUCUCUCCUGUUCUUUGCCAGCCUUAUUACCUUUUCUUUUUUCCCUAUUAAUCCAAGAGCUCUAUGGGAGUAAAAAGGAUGCUCUUCCUUGCAAUGAAGAAAUAUGUAAUGAAAAGAAAAAACAUAUUGUCAAAACUUGGUAUCUACCUGAAGAACACUUUGCCUUCUAAACCAUAAACAAGUGUCAGUGUCCCAGUGCCUUCUGCCAGCUAUUCUCAAGACUCAUCAGAAGAGAGUGAAAUUGAUGACUCUGUAGCUGUAGCAUCCCCAUUAUCAGCACUUAAUUUUAGCUUAAUGCUUUGAACAUUCUUCAGGCUCAGUGUGCUUUCAUCUGUACACAUUAAUGGAAAUCUGGAGAUAGAAAGAUUUGGGUAUUGGUUCAGCAGCUCAAUGAUGCCAGGGCCAGUGUGUUGGCAUUCUUCUGGCCUUAUCCUCAUGGUUGCAAAUUGGUUCCUGCUGUCCCCAGUCAAAGGAGGAAGAAGAGGGAAUUGGCAGCAGUUAUCAGAGCCUUUAUCAGAAAAGCACAGAUUUCCCAGGAAUCCCCAGGAGACUUCUGGUUACAGUCCAUUGGCCAUAAUGUGGUCAAAUGGGCUUCCCUAUCAACAAGGGAGACAGAGAAACCACUGAGAUCUUUGGUGUUAUCUUCUAGAUGAUCUGGACUCCACGUAUUAAAGAAACUGGAAAAUCCUGAAUCACUGAUUUAACAGAUGAGGUGAAAAGAACUAGAAGAACCUCUGUGAACAGAUAAGGU
rnacentral:lncRNA from 1 species